AGGGCUCUGUGCAUGGUGACUGCCCUCUAAGUGGGGGAUUUAGGCAUUGAUUGAAGGCCUACUGGGUGCUGAUUCAGCACUGGGAGUGGUGAUAAUGCAACUGCUUUGGGUGGCGUGGUCAGGGUGGGCUUCUCUGAGGAGGUGACAUUUGAGCUGAAAUCUGAGUGUCAUGAAGAAAGUAAGCUAGGAACUUCCGUAGUGGUCCAGUGGGUGGCUAAGAAUCCAAGUUCCCAAUGCAAGUUGCCCAGGUUCGAUCCCUGGUCAGGGAAUGAGAUCACACACGCCACAGCUAAAAGAAGAUCUCAAAUGCCGUAACUAAGACCCAGCACAGUCAUAUAAAUAAAUAUUGGGAGGGUCUGAAUUUGACUUGGGGUCAACAUAGCAAAGGAAACCAUUGUCAGGCUUGAAGCAGGGGAGGGACUGGCCUCUGACAUCAUUUUUUUUUUUUUUCUCGAAAAUGAACAAGACCUGAUUCCGGUCCCCAAGGAGCAGCUUCCUGGUGGAGGUGAGUCACCAUCUGAACUUGGAGACGCUGGGAAGACAGGAUGGACUGGGAGGAGGUGAACAGGACACACACCAGGUGGCAGAGAUGUCAAGGGCAAAGGUGGACAUGGUUCCCAUAUGACAAUCCUGACUUCAGAUACCAGCUGUUGUGUGAUCUUAGUUCCUUGACCAGAGAUUGAACCUGUGCCCCCUGCAGUGGAAGUGCAGAGUCCUAACCACUGGACCAUCAGGGAAGUUCCCCCAGAGUUUCUUCUUAAGGUAAUGAAAAUGUUCUAGAAUUGAUCGUGGCCAUGGUCGCAUACAUCUGUGAAUAUACUAAAACCACUGAAUCAUACACUUUAAAGGGUGAGUCAUAUGAGGUGUGAAUUACAUCUCAAUAAAGCUAUUAGAAUAAAACAACAUGGCUGCAAUUCUAGGAUUUCUUAGCAGACCCAUUUCCCUCCCCUUUAUCUGGGCUGGGUCUAUAAUGGCCUUGACCUCAGGGUCCUGAGGGAGGCAACACUGCCAACCAUGAUCCUUAACUUCAGGAGCAGCUACUGUCUUGCUCUCGGAGGAGAUGUCUGAGAUUCCUGAGAUGUCUUAUAGGAAGUCUGUGCUGUACCAAUGGGCCCUGGGGAGACCCUGAGGCUACACAGAAGAAAAAGGGGCUGGCGAAGCUGUAGGUUGACGGGAGAAGGAGCUCAGAUCCCCCAGCCCAGCUGCAAGUUGGACACCAACACUACAUGGGACAGAAGAACCACUCUGCUGAGCCCCACCUGCAUUCCCAACCCACAAAAUCAUGAGACAUCAUAAAGUCUGGGGGUAGUUUGUUACACAGCAAUAGAUUGGAAUCGAAACCUGCAAAGCCUCCUGGCACGUCUGGUUCACAUUUAGGAUUCUCAGACUCCUGGUGGUUCUGCACAAGAAUGUGGCAGUGUGGGCAGGGCUGGCCCCAUGCUGAUGGUCUGCUGCCUUUGAUUUGAGGGUUUGCCCUGGAUCAUGAGAGUCCUCACCUGCACACAAAGGGCACCUCAGCUCACAGAUCCAUAACCCUCCCCCCAAACAGCUGCCCUCUGCCACCUCUGGGUCAUGCAGGUGUGCAGACUGGGGACACUGCCUGCCUUAGGAGGAUGUACCCUGCAUCAGGAGACAAGGAAUUCCCGAGUCGUGGGUACCAGAGUGAGGGCUGGAAAAGGAGGUGUGGAGAGAGGUCCCAAAGGGGGACAGGCAGACUCUAAGUGCAGCAGUGACCCCAGCCCAGGUCACUACAGUCCCUCACCUGGGGACUAUCCAGCAUCCUCUCCACCUGUGCUGGCCAGGUAGUAAGCAGCCACCUGAGGCUACCAAGCCCUUGAAAUGUAGCUGGAGUGACUGAGGAACUGAAUUUCAAUUGAAUUUCAUUUUAAUGAACUAAAACCCACAAACAGGGACUUCUCUGGUGGUCCAAGGGCUGAGACUCCGCGCUCCCACUGUAGGGGGCCUGGGUU